rnacentral:rRNA from 1 species
UACAGAGGGGGCAAGCGUUGUUCGGAAUUACUGGGCGUAAAGGGCGCGUAGGCGGCCUGUUAAGUCGAACGUGAAAUCCCCGGGCUCAACCCGGGAACUGCGUCCGAUACUGGCAGGCUUGAAUCCGGGAGAGGGAUGCGGAAUUCCAGGUGUAGGCGGUGAAAUGCGUAGAUAUCUGGAGGAACACCGGUGGCGAAGGCGGCAUCCUGGACCGGCAUUGACGCUGAGGCGCGAAAGCCAGGGGAGCAAACGGG